GGGUGCGAUCAUACCAGCACUAAUUCACCAGAUCUCAUUCGAACUCCGCAGUUAAGCGUGCUUGGGCGAGAGUAGUACUAGGAUGGGUCACCUCUUGGGAAGUCCUCGUGUUGCACCCC
rfam:Gossypium raimondii Chr06_contig_387, whole genome shotgun sequence.